rnacentral:rRNA from 1 species
AUUGAACGCUGGCGGCAGGCCUAACACAUGCAAGUCGAACGAGUGGCGGACGGGUGAGUAAUGUCUGGGCCACUGCCCGAUGGAGGGGGAUAAGUACUGGAAACGGUAGCUACUACCGUCUACCAUCGGCUGUGCCCAGAUGGGAUUAGGGAGUAGGUGGGGUAACGGAUCACCAAGGUGACGAUCCCUAGCUGGUCUGAGAGGAUGACCAGUCACACUGGAACUGAGACACGGUCCAGACUCCUACGGGAGGCAGCAGUGGGGAAUAUUGCACAAUGGGCGCAAGCCUGAUGCAGCCAUGCCGCGUGUAUGAAGAAGGCCUUCGGAUUGUAAAGUACUUUCAGCGAGGAGGCGUUACUCGCAGAAGAAGCACCGGCUAACUCCGUGCCAGCAGCCGCGGUAAUUC